ACUGAGGUAGAUAUUGUACAAAAUCUUUUGCAUGAAUGGGUACCCUGUUUCACCUAACUCUGCUUUCAAGCCCCUUGCAUUGGUAUUACGUUACGAUCUAUGGUAUUGAUUACAUCAUUACAGGAUAUAUUAGAUUAUGGAGUCAAAACACCAUAGUCCUUCGGAAUUGCAACUGACGAAAGAAUGCUCAGUAGUCAAACGGAUACGAGUCGGGAAGGUCAAUUCGAGUUGGCACCUUCUGCUAAUUAAAAUUGAGUGAUGGCGAUCCUGAGAGUUCUAUUCCUGUUAAUGACAAUAUUAUUAAGUUUGGUGGCUAGUGGUCAGUUGAAAAAUGUGGAUCCUGUAAAAUGUCCCAUCGACAAGAUACCAAUAAAACUGGGCACAGCAAGUGUGUGCGUACCUAAAAAUUACACAUUACCAGCAGAGGAGACGCGGCGCUGAAGACAAAGUACCCUAUUACAGGCGUAAAUGAAACAAACUGUGAUUAGAUAAUUAAAUUCUCAGUAGGUCUACGACUAACAAUAUUGAAAAUUCAGUUAAGGUACUUACGUCGGUUACUAAUUGUUUUUAAUUAGUAUAUAUUUUUAGAUAUAAAAUGUAUACCUAAAAUAUGCCUAAUAUAAGUAUCUAUAUCGAUAUUACAAUCAUAUUUAACAUAACUUGAAAAUUGCUACACUAAACAGUGAUGCAAUUCACUAUAGGCAAUAGAGACACCUCAUAAUUAAUCUCAAUAAAAAAGUUAUGAGGAAAUGUAUGUAAAUGUUAUAAAUUAUACAAUAAGCUCAUAAAUCUAUAUCAUUGCCUAAUUUUAUAAAUGAGAUUAAUUAAUUAUUAAUUUUGUAACUACAUUAUGUAUGGAAAAUUUGGUCAUCAACUACGCUGGUAGAAAUAAUAUAAUAAGGCACAUUAAAUAAUCAUUUACAUAUAGAUAUAUAGAAAUUAUUGCAAUUAUAAAUUUUAAUGAAUAACCUUAUCAUUUUUGAUAAGAAACUA